AUGAUCUCAGAGAGAUCGAAAUGUCAUUUUUUACCACUAGUUUUUAUUCUGAAAUGUUUUGUAAAAAAACUACUGAUAAGAAUUUUAAAGCGUGACAACCAGCUUCACCUGUUCAGAAGGCUUGAGCAGUGUAGAGAGAAACAAGUUAACUGUGAGACUGCCAUUCAAUUUCUUAAACUCUGUCAGAAUUUUAAUUUGACACCAACCUUUGCUAGGGUUGAUCAGACUAAAGUGAACAAAUGGAGGCGAUCUGCUAACUCCUUUGAAGGAAGCAUCGUUAUCGAAGAGCUAUGCCUGAAGAGGAAGCAAUUAGCAGAGCUUAGGCUUGAAACUCAAGACGUUUACAACAAGAUCAGAGUGAACUGUCCAUCACUUCAUUUCCUUUGCAUCCUAAAAACGAUCAUCACUCUACGUAAUGAACAGUACCGACAAUCGAUGAAUGGCCACCCAAGAAGAUUUUGAGGCUCCUGAACAAACAUGAUGCUGAUAUCGAUGAACAUAUCAAGAACAUUUCAUCCUACAAGCUUUCCUUCUUCCAAAAACUGGCACUAAGUCGCGGUCUUGACUUUGCUCUUCCACAGUGAGUGUCAUCCAAGGAAAUUGAAGCUGCUUUUGAAAAGGCUUUCUGGAAAUUAGAACUGGGGUUGAGCAAAGAAAACAAAGAAUUGGCGGCUGCAUCAUUACGUGCAAUUGCUUUGAAUUACAUCGAACGAAAGACCCUUGCACCACCAAGAGCAAUGCUAAGAGCAAUUGGCCAAUUGAAAAAGAAGAAUGACAUUAUUAUUACGAAGCCAGAUAAGGGAUCAGGUGUGCUUGUGAUGGACAAGUCAGAUUAUGUGCGCCUACUGAAAGAGUCAUCAAUAAACAAAGAAACCAAGUUUAUACCAGUGUGUGCUGAAAGACCCAAAAUGAGAGGAAGACUUCCCAAGCAUUUCCACCAGCUAUUGCAGAAGGAAAAGGAGUUAACUGCCACUAUAGAAAGAAUAUUGCCCAAGGCAGUUGCUGGCACAGUUGUCCAGAAUGGCUCGAGACUAGCCCAUCUUUAUGGCUUGCCAAAAACCCACAAGUGACAACUAGCAAUGCGGCCAAUACUCUUGGCAACCAGGACAUAUAAUUACAAGUUGGCAAAAUGGCUUGACAAAAAGCUCAAACCUUUAUCAGUCAAUGACCACACCAUCAGUGAUGUUUUUAAUUUCGUGGAUUCUCUCCAUGACAUGGAAGUUGACGAUCACAGUGUCCUUGUUUCAUGUGACGUAACUUCGCUCUUUACCAAUGUCCCUGUUGAUGAGACGAUACAAAUUCUAGCUGAAAAGGCAUUUAAGGACGACUGGUUCAAUAAACAGCAUAAUAUCAACAUUACAAAAUCAGACUUGGUAGAGUUGCUAAAUAUUGCCACACAAGAACCAGCUUUUUCAGUUUGAGGGGAGUUUGAUGAACAAACCGAUGGUGUUGCCAUGGGUUCAUCACUUGGACCCCUAAUGGCCAAUGUAUUUAUGUGCAGUAUCGAAGAUCGACUUCAGGACUCAGGCAAGUUACCCGAGUUCUACAAACGCUAUGUGGAUGACACAUUGAGCAUAAUGCCUGACACCGAAACAGCUGAAGCAUUCCUUUCCUCUCUAAAUGAGAGUCAUCCAUCUGUCUGCUUCACCAUGGAACUUGGCAAACACGGUAAACUUCCUUUCCUGGGAACGGACAUCAGGAAAUGCAAUGGUCGCCUGGAGACAAGGGUGUACAGAAAACCAACUGACACCGGAUUAUUACUACAUUACAAGAGACACAUCGAUGUUAGAUACAAGGAUUCAUUGCUAAAAACAAUGCUGGAUCGUGCCUUUAAACUAUCAUCUACCUGGCAACUGUUCCACCUGGAAUGUGAUCAUCUCACAGACGUUCUCCUGACUUCAGUACCCAGCGCAAUUGAUACAAUCGACCAUCAGUAAUUUUGUCACCAAGAAAGUUUCUGGCGAUCCAAUUUCUACUCGAGCAUGUAACGUGAAUGAAGCCCCUGUCAGAAUAGUGUUACCUUUCAAGGAUCAGAGAUCGGCUAAUUCCACACGAAGGUAGCUUGGGGAACUAGGCCGAAAAAUUGGAAUAGAUAUUCUUCCCGUAUACACAAGCCGCAAGAUUGGACAGGAGGUCAAACCAAAAGAAAAGAGGCCGCCUAUCAUUAACCAGCAACGCGUUGUUUACUACUACAAGUGUGGUUUGUGUGAUGCAAACUACGUCGGGUACACAUGCCGACACCUCUAUCAAUGCGUCGAGGAACACAAAGGAUCGUCUUCAAUCGGGAAUCACAUCAAAGAGCAGCAUGGAACAGUCCCAAGUGACAUAUAUCGUGAUUUUAAG